UACGUAGGGUGCGAGCGUUAAUCGGAAUUACUGGGCGUAAAGUGUGCGCAGGUGGCCGCGCAAGUCGAGUGUGAAAGCCCCGGGCUUAACUUGGGAAUUGCGCUCGAAACUACGUGGCUAGAGUGUGGCAGAGGGAGGUGGAAUUCCGCGUGUAGCGGUGAAAUGCGUAGAGAUGUGGAGGAGCACCAAUGGCGAAGGCAGCCUCCCGGGCCAACACUGACACUCAUGCACGAAAGCGUGGGGAGCAAACAGG
rnacentral:rRNA from 1 species